rnacentral:lncRNA from 1 species
GUUUUGGCUCUGGUUUGGGCAUUGGCUCAGGCUUGGGUUCUGGUUUAGGCAUGGGCUCAGGCUUUGGUUCCGGUUUAAUUGGCUCAGGCUUCGGUUCCGGCUUAGGCAUUGGCUCGGGCUUGGGCUCAGGUUUUGGCUCAGGUUUAGGCAUUGGCUCGGGUUUGGGCUCAGGUUUAGGCUCAGGUUUAGGCACUGGCUCAGGCUUAGGCUCGGGUUUAGGCUCAGGUUUAGGCACUGGCUUAGGCAUGGGCUCGGGUUUUGGUUCCGGUUUAGGCAUUGGCUCAGGUUUGGGCUCGGGUUUAGGCUCGGGUUUAGGCAUUGGCUUAGGCAUGGGCUCGGGUUUUGGUUCCGGUUUGGGCAUGGGCUCUGGUUUUGGCUCGGGUUUUGGCAUUGGCUUAGGCAUGGGCUCUGGUUUUGGUUCCGGUUUAGGCAUCGGCUCAGGUUUCGGCUCUGGUUUAGGCAUUGGUUUGGGCAUUGGUUCCGGCUUGGGCUCUGGCUUCGGCUCGGGCUUGGGCAUGGGUUCAGGUUUGGGCUCAGGUUUCGGUCCCGGUUUGGGCAUUGGUUCUGGCUUCGGCUCAGGUUUCGGUUCAGGUUUAGGCAUGGGUUCAGGUUUCGGUUCAGGUUUUGGCUCUGGUUUUGGCAUGGGCUUGGGCUCCGGUUUUGGCAUGGGUUUUGGUUCCGGCUUUG